rnacentral:rRNA from 1 species
CACGUAGGGCGCAAGCGUUGUCCGGAAUUAUUGGGCGUAAAGGGCGCGUAGGCGGCUUGGCAAGUGGAAGGUGAAAUCCCUCGGCUUAACCGAGGAACUGCCCUCCAAACUGCUUAGCUUGAGACCGGGAGAGGUGAGUGGAAUUCCCAGUGUAGCGGUGAAAUGCGUAGAUAUUGGGAGGAACACCAGUGGCGAAGGCGGCUCACUGGACCGGUACUGACGCUGAUGCGCGAAAGCGUGGGGAGCAAACGGG